rnacentral:rRNA from 1 species
GACGAACGCUGGCGGCGUGCUUAACACAUGCAAGUCGAACGGAAAGGCCCUGCUUUUGUGGGGUGCUCGAGUGGCGAACGGGUGAGUAACACGUGAGUAACCUGCCCUUGACUUUGGGAUAACUUCAGGAAACUGGGGCUAAUACCGGAUAGGAGCUCCUGCUGCAUGGUGGGGGUUGGAAAGUUUCGGCGGUUGGGGAUGGACUCGCGGCUUAUCAGCUUGUUGGUGGGGUAGUGGCUUACCAAGGCUUUGACGGGUAGCCGGCCUGAGAGGGUGACCGGACACAUUGGGACUGAGAUACGGCCCAGACUCCUACGGGAGGCAGCAGUGGGGAAUAUUGCACAAUGGGCGGAAGCCUGAUGCAGCAACGCCGCGUGCGGGAUGACGGCCUUCGGGUUGUAAACCGCUUUCGCCUGUGACGAAGCGUGAGUGACGGAAAUGGGUAAAGAAGCACCGGCUAACUACGUG